rnacentral:lncRNA from 1 species
GGAGCCAGAACCCUGGUUCCUGUGACUGAAGCUGGCUCAAGGAUACAGCCCUGGGUGGUACUGUGCCUCCCUUCUGUCCUGGCAUAGGAAGCACAAGGGCACUUUAAGCUCUACAACCCAGAUCAGCAUAAAUCUUGGAAUUUCUUGUGGACCAAGAGUGACAGACGUGAAACAAACUCACUUCUCAGCUGGUAACUCAAACAAUGAGUUGGUUUCAGAGGCUAUUUACAAACUCUGGAGAAGAAGAACUUCAGAAAAAAGUUGAAGAACUUCAGAAAAAAGUUGGUAAGUUUUCUAAUACCCCUUUCCCCAAAGCCCUUUAAAACAACUGGUUUCUUGAUGUCUUUAUGAUUCCCUGCCUUUUAAAAAAUGUAUAAGCCGUCUGUUGGCCUCCGGUGCUCCUGGAUGUCU